rnacentral:rRNA from 1 species
UACAGAGACUGCAAGCGUUAAUCGGAAUUACUGGGCGUAAAGCGUGCGCAGGCGGUUCGUUGUGUCGGCGGUGAAAGCCCCGGGCUCAACCUGGGAAUGGCCGUUGAAACUGGCGAACUGGAGUGUGGCAGAGGGGGGUGGAAUUCCGCGUGUAGCAGUGAAAUGCGUAGAGAUGCGGAGGAACACCGAUGGCGAAGGCAGCCCCCUGGGCUGACACUGACGCUCAGGCACGAAAGCGUGGGGAGCAAACAGG